rnacentral:lncRNA from 1 species
GUAGUCCUGCAGCCUUGUGGCCGAAGGGCUGGGACUGGCCAUGAGAUUACAUGUCCUAGCAUGCUCAGCCAGGCGCGCGCAGCUCUGCCCCUUCCUCCAGUGAUGCGCACAGUCCCUGAUCCCUGUGCACGCUGGGAUUGUAGUCCUGCAGCCCUGCGAUCACUUGCAGGUAACAAGAAAUUUCAGCUUCCGGCAUGAUGGGCGAAGGCCCCCACCUUCAGCCUCGCUCCUCCAUGCCUUCAGAGCUGUUCCGCCAUGCAGACGGGGAGCCUGCCUGUUCUUUAACCUCUCCUACCUGAUGGGAGAGGACAAGCUACCAGGACAGCUUGUCUCACCAAGAAAUUGUGAUACCGCAUCCCCCAACGUGCUGGCUUCCUGACUUCCAAAGUUGCGGGACCAUUGCAAUUUAGAGACGUGGCCAUAGAAUUCUCUCUGGAGGAGUGGCAUUGCCUGGACACUGCACAGUGGAAUUUAUAUAGGGAUGUGAUGUUAGAGAACUACAGACACCUGGUCUUCCUUGACCUUUGGCCAGAGCAGAGCAUAA